AUUGAACGCUGGCGGUAUGCUUAACACAUGCAAGUCGAACGGCAGCAUGUUAUGUAGCAAUACAUAAUGAUGGCAAGUGGCGGACGGGUGAGUAACGCGUAGGAAUCUGCCUUAAAGAGGGGACAACCCGAGGAAACUCGGGCUAAUACCGCAUAAUCUCGCGAGAGAAAGCUGGGUAGCAAUACCUGGCGCUUUAAAGG
rnacentral:rRNA from 1 species